AAAGUCAAACAAGAUGAAAUCUAUUUUAGUAAAUGCAUAUUGGUGGCAUCACUUACAACUUCAAAAGUCGUGAGUAAACAGCCUCGUGUGUAUAUACUAAAACAAUAUAACCCUAUUUAAAAGGCCUGUC
rnacentral:ncRNA from 1 species